rnacentral:tRNA from 1 species
GCGGAAAUGGCGAAAUUGGCAGACGCACCAUCUUGAGGGGGUGGCGCCCAACGGGCGUGGGGGUUCAAGUCCCCCUUUCCGCAC